AUUGAGGAUGCAUCAGAUCAGACCAUAGAUUGUAUGGACCAGACUUAUAUUGACUUGGGGCAGCCAAAAAACCCAUAAUGCAUUUCGCAGCAAACUUGGUGACAAUGGCAGAAGAGAGAACACACAACUGCGCAGUGAGCGAGAGACAGGAGAAGAGUUGGGGGAAGACAUGCAGCAAAGGGCCGCGUGCGGGAAUCGAACCCGGGUCGCUGCGUCGAUGACUUUUCAUAGGUAAGAAUAGUUUUUGGCUCUUUUUUCAUUAUUAAAUCUUGUUGAGAGCUUCCAGUCUAUGGGAGCUAACUAGUUAUCCACUAGCAAAACGCUAAGGCGAGCUAGCAGCUUGACAAGCAAAUACCAGACGAUUAGUAGUAGCUGUAGUAGUCAGUCCUGUCUCAGAGUGAUGCAGAAAAGCUAGUCCAUGCAUUUGUUACUUCUAGGCUUGACUACUGUAAUUCCUUAUUAUCAGGUUGUCCCAAUAGCUCUCUAAAUUAUCUACAGCUGAUCCAAAAUGCUGCAGCCAGAGUACUGACGGGAGUUAGCAAGAGAGAUCAUAUUUCUCCUAUACUGGUUUCUCUUCAUUGGCUUCCUGUUAAAUGUAGAAUAGAAUUCAAAAUCCUUCUUCUGACAUAUAAAGCUCUUAAAAACCAAUCUCCAUCAUAUCUUAAAGACCUGAUAGUACCAUAUUAUCCUAGCAGAACUCUUCGCUCUCAGACUGCAGGCUUACUUGUUGUUCCUAGAAUCUCUAAAAGUAGAAUGGGAGGCAGAGCCUUCAGUUAUCAGGUGCCUCUCCUGUGGAACCAGCUCCCAGUUUGGGUUCAGGAGGUGGACACCCUCUCUAUUUUUAAGACCAGGCUUAAAACCUUCCUUUUUGACAAAGCUUAUAGUUAGGGCUGACCGGGGGACCCUGACAGGGUGAGCUGAUGUUUCCAUUUGCACAACUGACUUCCCCUCUUGACGUCCCUUUAGUUUGCCCCUAGUUAUGCUGCUAUAGGCCUAGGCUGCUGGGGGACCUCUCUUGAUGCACUGAGCCCUUCUCUAACUACCUAUGUAUUUACUACAUAUACCAUUAUUGCAUUACACUCAUUCUGUUUCUUUCUGUGUCCUUUCUCCGAGUGUCCCUGGUCCCAGAGCUGGAUGCUUCAGAUCUGUGGUUGUUCUCCCACCUCCAGCUGCCCAUUUCCACCGAUCUACUCUGCAUUGCCCUUACUAUACUUGAUUUGCUCAUCUACAGACAAUUCUUUAGGACUGCUCUCAAAUAAUUGAAAUGUUACUAAACAAGGCUAUACUUACCAAAUUAAUAGCUCUGGUCUCCAGUAUAUUGGCUAAUUUGGUUCUUUGUACUUAAUUUAUUAGCAUGAUUUCUUUUUAAAUAUGUUGUGUACACACUUACUUACUACUUUGUGUACUUUUCCUACUCCAUGUAGAUUUCACAGAGACUAUGGGCUGAGGAGGAAGUGGGAAGCAGCUCUGAGGAGAGAGGAGUUUGCUGCAAAUGAGUGGGUGCUCUGCAGUGAUCAUUUUAAACCUGAUGAGUUUGACAGGGCUGAGCAGGUUUAUCAGCUUAGACCUGGUGUCAUUCCAUCAGUGUUUAACUUCCUGGCUCAUCUUGGAAGAGUACGUGCCAGAAACACCAUGACCAAGCAGCCUUGAGAUCUUAGGCAGCGGCACCCUCAGGUCCCUCUCUAUCUCCCCACACAUCCACCAACCACUGGAACACAUCUCCAAAGUUCUGCUGGGCCAGCUCAGCUUCCCCUCAGAAGAAGUGCCGCCACCUGCCAGAUGAAGGAACCCUUUGAGAGGCAGCUGGCAUCGUGAUUGGACUGUACUUUGGUCUGUUCCAAUCCAGCUUCAGCUCCAGAGACGGCAGGUGGGACGAGUCAACGGAGGCCGGGUGGACGAAGGCAUGCAGCUGAGUACAAUCCAGAAAACAACAGAGGAGGAGUGCAGUGGCCCAGAGCCAGAACAAACAGAGUAGCAUGGUAUGUCUCUUAGAAAACAUCAUAGUAUAGCCUUUGGUAUGAAAAAACGCCAUCAUAUACAUCGUAUAUUGUACAAAUAACAAGUCAAAGGAAAGAGACAUACAUUGUAGAAUUGUAGUAAUUCUGGGCUGACUGAUUUACUGAUUAUCAGUAUUUUGUUUUUUACCGAUUUACGGUAAUAAAUCAAUUUAAAAAUGG